UGUGAGUGGCCCAAGGUGUGCCUAGUGGGAGUCGAACUCAGGACGUCCGAGUUUACGGCUCGUACCAAGUUUGUUGCUCACCAACUACACCCUUGGGUUAAGACUAUGUUAGUUUUAGUGCAUGGAAAAUGACUAAAUAGGUGGAACAAUAAAGAGAUAAAAAAGGAAAGGAAGAGUUGAGUUUUCGUCAUGUUAAAUGUAUUAAAUUGAUGAUGGUAGAGUGUUAGUAAGGGAUGAGGACAUUAUAAAGAGAUGGUAUAAUCAUUUUUACGACCUAUUGAAUGGAGACAACUCGAGUAAGAGUAGCUUGGAAGAUUGGAUUGUUCAUCAAGACACCACACAUCAUAUAUAUAUAUAUAUAUGUGAAAGGUUGGAGUGGCUGAAGUUAAAAGUAUUAAGAAAGAUGAAAAUGGGCAAGACACUAGGAUGAGGUCCAAUAAAAGUGUGGAAGAGCUUAGGAUUAUGUGGGGUAUAAUUGUAAUGCAAAUUCGAUCUUGAAUCAGUAGAAAUUCAGCAGGAGAUCGUUUGCAACAAGGAUCUAAUGUAUAGGGGAAAACAAAAACAGAAAAACAGAAUUUAUUUCAUAACACACAUAAAACAUAAUUUAUUUCUUUCUUUGGGGUUGCAUAAGAAGGUCAAUAAAAGGAAAAUGAAAGAUACGGAGGGGGUAGGGAAGGGAGAUAUAGGGUAGUCUUUCUCAGACUCGGGCUUCUCAUCCACGACCUCUCACCGUCUCACUGUAUCUCACAACCAUUGCCUCUCACAACUUUAAAUAUUUUUUUCUUCAUUUCAUUGUUCUCCUCCUUGUUGAACGGAAUACAUAUAUUUAUAGGCCAUCCUAAUACAAACACAGUCACCAACAUUUACGUAACUUGGACAUUCAACAAAAAGAAAAUUGGACUGCUUUCAAACAAAGAAAACUUGGACAAAACAAUUAGUCCUUUUUCAAACAAAAACAAUUAUUCUUUUUCUGCUAGAAGUCUUCCAAUUUUCAGAGUUUUCUCCUUGUUCACAUUUUAUGUUUAUGCUCUAGAGUCCUAUUGAACUUAAUCACUUGUUACCAUUACUCAGUUUUCUAUUGAGGUCUAUCCCGUAGAGGUACUCAAAUUGAAUCAGUGAUCGAUUUCUAGGUUUCAUCGUAAACCUAAUUGGUUACUUCCAAUUACGUAAAUCAAUAGUUUCC